UGCCUCUUCUGCAGAGGUGGCUCAUACAGAAAGCGUGGGAGGAGAGUUGCAGAAUAACAUCUCUUUGUUUUUAUAACCCCCCUGGCAUGCCCUGGGCCAGCCUAGCCUUUGGGUUUUAGCACAGCCCCUGUGGCUCUUUUCUCCUUCGCACCUCUUCUGGCUCCCUCAGCACUGGGUCUCAGUCACUUUCUGAAGGGACCAGUCCAGCAUUGUUCACGCUGAUGCUUGGGGAUGUGCUCAUAAUGGCAGAGGCCAGAAAAGGCCUGGUGCUGCCUUAGAUUCUGUGUGGACUGUGGCAUGGCAGAGGACAAAAAAGGAAAAGAAAGAACGGAAGUGAGCAACAGAGCGGGACACUCCUCUUUGUGUGUGUGCCACCUGUCCUUGAAGGAAAUGUGCUUGUUUCACCUCUCACCUGCCUUUAGACUCUGGGGACCAGGAGGAACCCCAGGCCCAGCAAAUGGUGGGAGGCUUGACCAGGCCACACACAGGCACGCACUUACUGCAGGACUUGCGAGUGGGAUCCUGUGCUCUCCUGCUAUGAACGACAUCUGCCUUUCUCACCAACUCUUCAUUAUUAGCCCCAUGUCAGGUCAAUGCAACAAGAUAGUGACAACACAGCGUGGGAGUCCAGGAGCAGAAAUUUGA
rnacentral:lncRNA from 1 species